CGGAAAUAGCUCAGUGGUAGAGCAUCACCUUGCCAAGGUGGGGGUCGCGAGUUCGAGUCUCGUUUUCCG
rnacentral:tRNA from 1 species